GGCCAUAGCUCAAUGGUAGAGCACCUGCUUUACAUGUAGAAUGUCCCAGCUUCAAUCCCUGCCAUCACCA